AGGACGAACGCUGGCGGCGUGCUUAACACAUGCAAGUCGAGCGGAAAGGCCCUUCGGGGUACUCGAGCGGCGAACGGGUGAGUAACACGUGAGUAACCUGCCCCAAACUUUGGGAUAACCCUCGGAAACGGGGGCUAAUACCGAAUAUUACUUCUGGUCGCAUGGCUGGUGGUGGAAAGUUUUUCGGUUUGGGAUGGACUCGCGGCCUAUCAGCUUGUUGGUGAGGUAAUGGCUCACCAAGGCGAGGACGGGUAGCCGGCCUGAGAGGGCGACCGGCCACACUGGGACUGAGACACGGCCCAGACUCCUACGGGAGGCAGCAGUGGGGAAUAUUGCACAAUGGGCGGAAGCCUGAUGCAGCGACGCCGCGUGAGGGAUGACGGCCUUCGGGUUGUAAACCUCUUUCAGCAGGGACGAAGCGCAAGUGACGGUACCUGCAGAGAAGCGCCGCAACUACGUGCCAGCAGCCGC
rnacentral:rRNA from 1 species